rfam:Vitis vinifera, whole genome shotgun sequence of line PN40024, chromosome 6, chr6
UGGAGGAUGAUGAAAAAAAUCAGACGGAUUCCCAAUGAUUUAAACCGUGAUAUCAUAACCAGCUACUUCUGACUCGC